GCAUGGCCUAACAGUGAGAAUUUCAGGUCUGUUUCAGGUUAGUGAGAUCAACUGCUUGCAAGAACUGAGAGACUGCAACAGAAAGAGGGGAAAAUGGGCAGCCAAUAUUGUGCAGUUGUGCCAUUUGAUGACUCUGCAAACAGGAAGAACAAGGAUCGAGAGGAUUUAUAGUAUGAGCUGGUAGAAUGGAGCUGGGGCUGGCUUCUUUUCCAUUUUUUUUUCACAAGUCUCCCCACCAGGACACAGGAGCUGCCCUUGGCCUGAAAUGUGGUUCGACCUACGGCUUCUGGGUGUAUCAGACUGGGGCAGCAGGGCACUGGUAUUCUGACAGUGAACAUUACACCUUUCAAAUGGACAUUGCAGAGAUUUAGAAUUGAGUCUCGUCAAAAUAUCCUGAUUUACAUGUUAGGAAAGUCAAGGGAGAAGUUACUUUAUCUUCCUUCUAACCCGUUGGAAAGAUUUUUAAGGAGACUUUACUGCAAUCGUUGUUUCUAUUGCUUAAGUGAAUUCCAAUUGCUACUGUAAAUUCCAUUCAUUAUUUAAAUAGCUUUAGCUCCCUUAAGAACCUAAGUGCCUUACAGAGAGGAAGGAGGUUUCAAAUCCAUGCAGGGUGGGGAACUGCUCAGGGGGCUCAAAUCCUGGGGCAUAGGGAGAGGGACUGCAGUGUUCAUGAUGGGUCUGUAGGGAGGCAGAUCAAGAGCCGGACUGAGUGAUGGUAGGAGCUGGGAGAAUUGCUAAGAUCAUCUGGGACUAGGAUGCUUUCCUAACUUUCCUGAUCCUAAGAAUCCUCUGAAUCAUUUGUCAAAAAUAGAUCUGCAGACCCUUCCUCUGGAGAUUCUAUUUUAGCAGAUCUGAAAUGGAGUCCAAAAUUUCAUACUUUCAAGAAAGACCACACUUGAUUUUGACAAGUAGACAUGUUUGGAAAAUACUGAUCUAUCAAGCUGCCUUGUUUUAUAGGUGAAUAAAUUGAGUCCCAAGGAGGGGUCUUUUCCCAGAUCACAGAGCCCCAGUUAGUGCUAGAGCUAAAUCCAGGACAAGAUCACUGAGACCUGAAUGGCAGGUUUAGGAUGCCCAAUUUGCAGCUGUGCUGCUGGGACUGGAACUGGUAGUGUCGUCUGCAGGUCCCUCGAAACAUUUGUUUAGCUGCUGACUUUCUGUAAGAACAGCUGAAGGCAGUGCUCCUGGAGUCAGACAGACCAGGUUCAAAUGCUGACUUUACUUUUGAUUCACUGAACAACCUUGUGCAAAUGGCUUAAUUUUUCUGAGCCAUUAAUAUGGCUAUUAAAUCAGAUAAUGUACCUGCCCCUAGUAGGUGCUCAAUAAAUGAUUAUUGCUUAUGAAGCGCUAGACCCCCUUCCAACUCAAAGAACUGGCCAGUAUGAACUCAUUUAAUAAACAAAACAAGCCUAUUAUUAACCCCAUUUUAAAAUGAAGAAAAUUGAAGAAAACUUGAGUGACUGGUUUAAAUCACGCAUAGCAAGUGAGAAGCAGAGGCGGAUGUGAACUCAUGUAGUCUGUAGCCCCCUUCUUUCCCUUGAGGGCAGGGUCUGGGUCCCACUUACCCCAGCAUGGCCCCUGGUGCAGGCCUCUGCACACAAGUAGAUAUCAAUAAGUGCCUGAUGAAUGAGAUUGAGAUUUAAAGACAGGAUGAGAAAUUCACUUCGAGUGUGGCUGAGGGUGGGGUAUUAGCAUGGGGCAGCCGGAGAUGGCAGUAGGAGAACCUAGGUAGAGAAGCCUGUACCCAGGGAAGAUGGGACAGAGCCUGCAGGAGCAAUCCCUGGGAGUUAAAGACUGGUUUCAGGCCGAACAAUUAGCAUUGAAAUGCGCAGAAGCCUGGAAGUUUUUUGCAUUGUCGCCUGCAAUAAGGAAAAAUCCAGACUGAACUGGCUGCUUGGAUCAGAAGUGAUGUAACGAGCUGGCUUUGGCCUAGUUUUUGUAAAGCAGGCGGGCCCCUGGCUCUCCCACACCAUUUUUUCCAGAAUUGGCAAGUGACAGCUACCGCCAUCUAGUGGUCCGAGUGGCACUGCACAGUCAUGGGGAAAAAAGGUUGGUCUGCACCACAGGGGCUAGAGGAUGCCCCUGGCUUCCGUCUCCCAGAAGAUGAGAGCCCCCAAUGGUGGUAGAGAGUUUAUUCUGUUCAAGGCAUGUUCUUACCUUUUGCUUCAUUAGAUCUUCUCAACAAUCCAGGAGGUCGUCAGGGGCCAUUAACUCCAUUUUACGGUGAGGCGACAAGUCCCUAAAGGAGAGGGGUCUUGUUCAGAGUUGUAUUGUCAGUUAUUAAUGGAUCCAGGACUGAAGCCCAAGCCUUCACAAUACAAUUUCUUAGCCCAGAAGUAAUACAGAGAGGUUGUCGGGUCCUUUAAAGUCUCCUUGAACAGGGAAUGGAAGAUGAUUAAUCCUGGAGGUCUUGGUCACGUCUCUGCAUGGAGGAAUGAAAUCUUGUCACAGCUUGAGAAGAGGUUGCCUGAGAGUAAAAGAGCACAUUGAGGAAAGUGAGCUAAGAAAGAGAAAGACAAACUCCUGAUGAGCUUGCUUAAAUACAUAGAUUCAGUAAUUCCUGAAGCUAGUAGUCAUCUCCCACAUUCUAGACUUUUCAGUGAGUUUCACCAGGCAAAGUCUGAGGUGUGGAAUGCAACCAGAAGCAUGCUGCUUGCUGUGGGCAAUGGAAUGUGAGUGGAAGUCACAGGUCACUUCAGAAUGGAGGCCUUCAGAGCAGGGCAGUUGCCCCUCUGUUAGCUGCCUGUUGAGAUACCCAUAUGGCAAGGAACUGGAAAAGGCCUGUGGCCAAUGGCCAGUGAGGAACUGAGAUCCUUGGCCCAAUGACCUACCAGGAACAGAACCCUGCCAACAACCACAUGGGAGAGUCUGGAAGCAAAUUUUCCUUUGGUUACACCUUCAGAUGAGAUUGCAGCUCCAUCCAGUAGCCUGACCAUAAUCUCAUGGCAGAACCUCAGCUAGAAGCACCCAGGUUUCUGCAUUUCUGACUACCGAUGGCUCUACCUGGCCCUUCCCUGACCUAACUUGUCCUGUGGCCCCCACCCAGAAGUAGAAUCCCUGGCUUACCAAACUAUCCUUGAAAAACCCUAGCCUCCAAAUUUUCAGAGAUUGAUUUGAGUAAUAUCUCUGUCUGCCAUGUGGUGUGGCUGGCCUUGUGUCUAGUAAACUGUUUCUUUAUUGCAAUGUCACUGUCUGGUUUUGUCUGUGCAGUGGGUAAGAAGAACCCAUUGGACACAGGCAUUAAGAUAGUUUCUUUGUAUUGUCUGAACUAGAAAUCUAUCCUUCAGCCAUUCAAUACUCUGCACAGGGACUCUGCCAGGCAGUGAUGAUCCAUCAUCAAGUCAGACAUGAUGCAAAGGGGAGAGAAUCCAGGGUCUGGAGAGGGACAGACGAUUUCAUAAACAGUAUAGGACCUGUGAGUAGUCCAAGUGUAACAGAGUUGCAUCCUAGCACUAAGGGAGAGAGAGAAAAAGGGCCCAAGCUUGCUGGAGGGUGUGAAUGAAGACUUCCUGGAGGAGGUGGCCCCUAGUGGAGCUUAAAGACUUGUGGUUAUUGUGAUUAUCAAAUAUUCCAGGCCUCUUCCUGCCCUGCCCUCCAACCCCACCUGCUAUUUCUCCUCCAACUCUUCCCUUCCAAGUUGCCCACUGCUGUCCAGCUUUUCCCUUCCCCAAACAUCUCUCCUUUCUCCUUCCAGUUAUCUCCCUUGCCCUCCCCCUUUCUUUUCUCCCUCCUCCCUUCUCCACUAGCCUCCACUGCUCUUUUCUCCCCUUCCCUCCCCUUCCCUGGCCCAGGAUGAAAGCCCUUCCACAGCCUCCCAGCUGAUGAAUUAUGCAUGCCUUUCAGCGGGUGUGCCUGGCAUCCAAUUAGGGCCUUGGCCAGGUUGAUCACUUAGACAGAUUAAAAUGUAAUUCAUUGGGGUUGACAUUUAAGCCCCAGUGUGAAUGGCGGUGAGGAGAAGUAAAUGCUCUCCGGGUACCUGGUGUGUAUUUGGGGGUAGGGGAGGCUCUCAGCUACCUGUACUUGCUUAACUAAUUCCAGCCUGGAGUAAUGUCAGUAUGCACACUGGGCCUCUGAUGCACAGUGGAACGGGGGAAAGGUCCAAGGCAGGCUUUGAGCCAAAGCAGGCUUUAAAAAAAUCAAAAAACUUUUUAUUUAGAACUAAUUUGAGAUUUACGCAAGAGUAGUGAUAUUAGUACAGAGAGUUCCCAUAUGCCCGUCACUGAGCUCUCCCUCAUGUUAACAUCUUAUGUAACCAUGGCACAAGGAUCAAAACUAAGAAAUUGAUGAGGGCACAAUACCAUUAACUAAACUACUAACGUUUUUCCCAUUUCACCCAGUUUCCCACCAGGGUCGUUUUUCUGUUCCAGGAUCCAGGCCAGGAGCCCACAUUCUAAAGCAACCCUGUGGGAUCGUGCCUCUCCAAGGACAGCAAUUCCUCCCUGAUCCUCAGACCAGCAUUUCUCAAACUUUAGGGUCCAGAGAGUUAUCAGGGAUUUUGUUUAAAGGACGUGUCCUUCCCUAGACAUUCUGAUGCAGCGAGUCUUAGGUAGAACCCUGGCACAUCCUUAACAAGCAUCCCCAGCCAGACAUACACUCCCAGCUAACUGGCUGGUUCCUGGAUUCUUUGUAAGUCAGGUCUCAACUUGCAGAUUUCCUUCAUCCCCUGGCUUAGCCUCAGAAAACAGCAGCGUUACCCCCACCAGCAGCUACUACCAGACCCUGGGGAGAUGGCUGGACUAACACAAAAUCCUGAUUUUGACCACUGGGUCGGACACAUCAUCUGCCAGGCCUAACCCCCUGGUUAAAUCCUACCUGAAGAGGAGAGAAAGUGACAUUUACCUGCCAGUCACAGAUACAUACAUAUUUUCAUGUAAUCUAAACAGUAACUGCUGUAAGUAGAUACUAUUUCCCCCAUCUUAUAGGUGUGGAAACUGAAAAAAGUGUUAUUAAGGGUAGUGAUAUUGCCAGAUUUUGCAAAUAAAAAUAUUAGAGCCCUAGUAAAAGUUGAACUUUAGAUAAGACAAUUCUGGAGACAUACUUAUAUUUUUAAAAGUUGUCAUUUAUUGGAAAUUUGCAUUUAACUGGACCUCCUGUAUUUUAUCUUGCAGCCCUGAGGAAGUGAUAAGUCUGUGGCUGCAGAGCUCGUCAGCAGGCCCGGAUGUGGAUCUCACUCUGAUGUCUACAGCACAGGGUACCCUGUGCUCGCCAGCUCAAUGCCUGCCUCGCCUAGUGAGCUGCAGGCAGCAUGAGGUAGGGGCUGUAUGGAUUUGUUUCCUGCUGUAUCUCCAAGGCCUGGCACCAUAUGGCAGUAGACACUUAAUAAAUAUUUGUUAAAUAAAUGAAUGACUAAAUGCAUUCAUGAAGGGACUCAAUACUCUCUUUAUACCAGGGAAGGCUCCAGAUGAUGAUGAUUAAACAGAAAGGCUGAGCUGACUAGGUUUAAACCACCUUUGCAAAAUUAUAAAUUAUAACUGAGGAAAUUAGGACAGUGAAAGAAAUCAGACCUAACUGACUCCAUCUUGCUUCUAACUUUUAAGCUGUCCUUGCUCAUUCCUGGGUAUAGACCAAACUAACUUUGGGAAGGGAUUCAGUUCAUGGUUUGACUCUGAAACAAAAUGGAUAAUAACCCUUUCCCCAAAAGACCCUCUUCUUGCCUGGGGACCAGUUUGCUUUUGCAGGACUAACUAAUUAGCUACAGAUUAGAAAUCACAGUUUAGGGGCCAUGCAGCCUCUGGCUCCAAGAGUCUGAACCUUCCCAAAUUGCUCCUGGGGAUAACAUCACUAAUGUAAAACCUAAAA